CAUGUACCUGUUAAAGAUACGGAAAAUGAAGCAGCUGUCGAGACAGCUAUUGUGGUAAGUAGAUAUUUUGAUUUUUUUCAAAGUUUCAAUGUUGUGUGCGCGUUUAAGUCCGUUUUUGUUUGGUUUUUUUUAGGGGGAGGGGGAGGGGGGAUUAGCUAUAUCCCAUAUCCCAAAAGUGCAAUCCUUUCAAUUCAUUGCUCAAAAUGAAAGUCACGUAUACCACAUUUUCAUAUGUCAUAUAUAUGUUUUGCCUCCAAUAUCACGUUUAUAUUAAAAUUCUGCGCGAAAUGAACAAAAGUUUCCGUCAAUAACUUUAUAACUGCAUUAUCGGAUUUAACAGUUGAUACCUU
rnacentral:lncRNA from 1 species